GAUGAACGCUGGCGGCGUGCUUAACACAUGCAAGUCGAACGAACCUUCGGGUUAGUGGCGGACGGGUGAGUAACGCGUGAGAAUCUGCCCUCAGGAGGGGGAUAACGGUUGGAAACGACCGCUAAUACCCCAUAUGCCGAUAGGUGAAAUGAAUUUCGCCUGAGGAUGAGCUCGCGUCUGAUUAGCUUGUUGGUGAGGUAAUGGCUCACCAAGGCUUCGAUCAGUAGCUGGUCUGAGAGGAUGAUCAGCCACACUGGGACUGAGACACGGCCCAGACUCCUACGGGAGGCAGCAGUGGGGAAUUUUCCGCAAUGGGCGAAAGCCUGACGGAGCAACGCCGCGUGAGGGACGAAGGCCUCUGGGCUGUAAACCUCUUUUCUCAAGGAAGAAGAUAUGACGGUACUUGAGGAAUAAGCCACGGCUAAUUCCGUGCCAGCAGCCGCGGUAAUACGGGAGUGGCAAGCGUUAUCCGGAAUUAUUGGGCGUAAAGCGUCCGCAGGCGGCCUUUCAAGUCUGCUGUUAAAGCGUGGAGCUUAACUCCAUUAUGGCAGUGGAAACUGAUAGGCUUGAGUAUGGUAGGGGCAGAGGGAAUUCCCGGUGUAGCGGUGAAAUGCGUAGAUAUCGGGAAGAACACCAGUGGCGAAGGCGCUCUGCUGGGCCAUUACUGACGCUCAUGGACGAAAGCCAGGGGAGCGAAAGGGAUUAGAUACCCCUGUAGUCCUGGCCGUAAACGAUGAACACUAGGUGUCGGGGGAAUCGACCCCUUCGGUGUCGUAGCUAACGCGUUAAGUGUUCCGCCUGGGGAGUACGCACGUAAGUGUGAAACUCAAAGGAAUUGACGGGGGCCCGCACAAGCGGUGGAGUAUGUGGUUUAAUUCGAUGCAACGCGAAGAACCUUACCAGGGUUUGACAUCCUGAGAACCUCUUAGAAAUUUGAGGGUGCCUUCGGGAAUUCAGUGACAGGUGGUGCAUGGCUGUCGUCAGCUCGUGUCGUGAGAUGUUGGGUUAAGUCCCGCAACGAGCGCAACCCACGUUUUUAGUUGCCAGCAUUUAGUUGGGCACUCUAGAAAGACCGCCGGUGAUAAACCGGAGGAAGGUGUGGAUGACGUCAAGUCAUCAUGCCCCUUACACCCUGGGCUACACACGUACUACAAUGCUACGGACAAAGGGCAGCAAACUCGCGAGAGCUAGCAAAUCCCAUAAACCGUGGCUCAGUUCAGAUCGUAGGCUGCAACUCGCCUACGUGAAGUAGGAAUCGCUAGUAAUCGCAGGUCAGCAUACUGCGGUGAAUACGUUCCCGGGCCUUGUACACACCGCCCGUC
rnacentral:rRNA from 1 species